rnacentral:lncRNA from 1 species
UAAUCCGGACACCUCCCCAGUCCCUCCCUCCCUACCUGUCCAGAGCUUCCCCUUCCCAUGUAUGGGGUUCUCACUUCGCCGGGAGAAGCUCAGGGCACCUGCUGUGCCCAUUUCUUAGGGCCAAUUCCAAGGUCCUGGCCGGACUGAUACAAUUAGAAAGAGGAGGUCGGGCAGGAAGCAGUGCUGUGACUUCCCUCUCUGUCAUCUGUGUGUCAUCUUCACACAGACCUGUGACAGCAAGACAGGAAAA